UACGUAGGUGGCAAGCGUUGUCCGGAAUUAUUGGGCGUAAAGCGCGCGCAGGCGGUCCUUUAAGUCUGAUGUGAAAGCCCACGGCUCAACCGGGGAAGGUCAUUGGAAACUGGGGGACUUGAGUGCAGGAGAGGAGAGUGGAAUUCCACGUGUAGCGGUGAAAUGCGUAGAGAUGUGGAGGAACACCAGUGGCGAAGGCGACUCUUUGGCCAGUAACUGACGCUGAGGCGCGAAAGCGUGGGGAGCAAACAGG
rnacentral:rRNA from 1 species